rnacentral:rRNA from 1 species
GCUUAACACAUGCAAGUCGAACGGUAACAGCCCUUCGGGGCGCUGACGAGUGGCGGACGGGUGAGUAAUACGUAGGAAUCUGCCCAGUAGUGGGGGACAACCCGGGGAAACUCGGGCUAAUACCGCAUACGCCCUACGGGGGAAAGCGGGGUGAUACUUCGGACCUCGUCGUCUAUUGGAUAGAGCCUACGUCGGAUNUAGUCUUGUUUGGUAGGGUAACGGUCCUACCAAGGCGACGAUACCGUAGCUGGUCUAGACGAGGACGAUCAGCCACACUAGGGACUAGAGACACGGCCCAGGACUCCUACGGGAGGCAGCAGUNGGGGAAUAU